rnacentral:rRNA from 1 species
AGGUUAAGUUAAUAAGGGCGCAUGGUGGAUGCCUUGGCACUAGAAGGCGAUGAAGGACGUGACUAACUACGAUAUGCCUCGGUUAGCUGUAAGUAAGCUUACCCGGGGGUUUCCGAAUGGGGCAACCCGAUCUUAAUGAUCAUCAUCUUUUUGAAUUCAUAGAUUAGAUGAAGCAAACGCUGUGAACUGAAACAUCUAAGUAGCAGUAGGAAAGUAAAGAAAUUUCGAUUCCGUCAGUAGCGGCGAGCGAACGCGGAAGAGCCCAAACCUGGAUGCUUGCAUCCAGGGGUUGUAGGACUGAUGUUGAGUUACAAAGGUAUAAGAUAGCAGAAACAGUUGGGAAGCUGUUCCAAAGAGGGUGACAGGCCCGUAUGCGAAAUCUUGUACUCUCUAAUCAGGAUCCUGAGUACGGCCCAGCACGUGAAAUUGGGUCGGAAUCUGGGAGGACCAUCUCCCAAGGCUAAAUACUAACUAGUGACCGAUAGCGAACAAGUACCGUGAGGGAAAGGUGAAAAGAACCCCGGAAGGGGAGUGAAAUAGUUCUUGAAACCGUGUGCUUACAAGAAGUUCGAGGCCGUUAAUGGCUGAGAGCGUGCUUUUUGUAGAAUGAACCGGAGAGUUACGAUUGCGUGCAAGGUUAAGGUGCAAAGACUGGAGCCGUAGCGAAAGCGAGUCUUAAUAGGGCGAAUCAGUACGUAGUUGUAGACCCGAAACCGAGUGACCUAUCCAUGGUCAGGUUGAAGGUGGGGUAAUACCUACUGGAGGACCGAACAAGUGGGUGUUAAAAAACCCUUUGAUGAACUGUGGAUAGCGGUGAAAUUCCAAUCGAACUCGGAGAUAGCUGGUUCUAUCCGAAAUACAUUUAGGUGUAGCCUUGCAAUUAGCUUACUGGAGGUAGAGCACUAUUUGGUCUAGGGGCCCUUCAAGGGUUACCAAAAUCAGAUAAACUCCGAAUGCCAGCUAAGUAUGUGCAGGAGUCAGACGGUGAGUGAUAAGAUCCAUCGUCAAAAGGGGAACAGCCCAGAUCACCAGUUAAGGUCCCUAAAUAUAUGCUAAGUGGAAAACGUUGUGAAGGUGCAUAGACAACUAGGAGGUUGGCUCAGAAGCAGCCACCCUUUAAAGAGUGCGUAAUAGCUCACUAGUCGAGUGCUCUUGCGCGGAUAAUGUACCGGGGCUAAGCAUAUUACCGAAACUGUGGAUGCGUAAGCAUGGUAGGAUAGCGUAAUUAACGCGAUGAAGGAUGACCGUAAGGACAUGUUGGAGCGUUAACUAGUGAGAAUUCCGGUAUGAGUAGCGAAAGAUAGGUGAGAAUCCUAUCCACCGAAUGAGUAAGGUUUCCCCCGGAAGGCUCGUCCGCGGGGGGUUAGUCGGGACCUAAGGCGAGGCUGAAAAGCGUAGUCGAUGGACAACAGGUUGAUAUUCCUGUACCGAUAUUUAAUUGCCGAAGGAAGGACGCAGAAGGAUAACACAGGCCACUAUUGGAUGUGGUUUUAAACAGUUAGUCUUCAUAAGAGUCAAAUGCUUUUAUGUUUAAGGAUAAGCUGUGAAUGUACCAAGUUUACUUGGAAAUUGUGUGAUUUCACGCUGCUGAAAAAAGUUUCGUAGGAAGAAAAUAUUGCCCGUACCGCAAACCGACACAGGUACUCAAGUGGAGAACACUAAGGUGAGCGAGUGAACUAUUGUUAAGGAACUCUGCAAAAUGAGUCCGUAACUUCGGAAGAAGGACUGCUGGUUUUAUACCAGCCGCAGCAAAUAGGCCCAAACAACUGUUUAUCAAAAACACAGGUUUCUGCAAAAUCGUAAGAUGAAGUAUAGGGGCUGACGCCUGCCCAGUGCUGGAAGGUUAAAAGGAGGACUUAGCUUCGGCGAAGGUCUUAAUUGAAGCCCCAGUGAACGGCGGCCGUAACUAUAACGGUCCUAAGGUAGCGAAAUUCCUUGUCGGGUAAGUUCCGACCCGCAUGAAAGGCGUAAUGAUUUGGGCGCUGUCUCAACAAUAGACUCGGUGAAAUUUAAAUUCCAGUGAAGAUGCUGGGUACCCGCGACAGGACGGAAAGACCCCGUGGAGCUUUACUGUAGCUUGAUAUUGAAUGUUUGUGCUGCAUGUGCAGGAUAGGUAGGAGACUUUGAAGUCGGAACGCUAGUUUCGAUUGAGUCACCCUUGAGAUACUACCUCUGUUGUAUGAACGUUCUAACUCUGAUCAGUUAUCCUGAUCGAAGACAGUGUCUGGCAGGCAGUUUGACUGGGGCGGUCGCCUCCUAAAAGAUAACGGAGGCGCUCAAAGG